rnacentral:rRNA from 1 species
GAUGAACGCUGGCGGCGUGCCUAAUACAUGCCAGUCGAGCGAACAGACGAGGAGCUUGCUCCUCUGACGUUAGCGGCGGACGGGUGAGUAACACGUGGAUAACCUACCUAUAAGACUGGGAUAACUUCGGGAAACCGGAGCUAAUACCGGAUAAUAUAUUGAACCGCAUGGUUCAAUAGUGAAAGACGGUUUUGCUGUCACUUAUAGAUGGAUCCGCGCCGCAUUAGCUAGUUGGUAAGGUAACGGCUUACCAAGGCAACGAUGCGUAGCCGACCUGAGAGGGUGAUCGGCCACACUGGAACUGAGACACGGUCCAGACUCCUACGGGAGGCAGCAGUAGGGAAUCUUCCGCAAUGGGCGAAAGCCUGACGGAGCAACGCCGCGUGAGUGAUGAAGGUCUUCGGAUCGUAAAACUCUGUUAUUAGGGAAGAACAAAUGUGUAAGUAACUAUGCACGUCUUGACGGUACCUAAUCAGAAAGCCACGGCUAACUACG